rnacentral:tRNA from 1 species
AGGGGAAUAGUUCAAGGGUAGAAUAGUGGUCUCCAAAACCAAAGAUUAAGGGUUCAAAUCCCUUUUCUCCUG